AGUUUUCUUCUUGCUAGGGGGGGGCGUAACAGAAAAUAAUUGAGAAGCACUGGUUUAACCGGAGGCAAAUCCGGAGGGGUCCACUGCACCGAUGUGACCAAUGCUAGCCGGACCAUGUUGUUCAAUAUUCACACGAUGGACUGGGACCCGGAGCUGUGCAAAUAUUUUGGUAUCCCAAUGGAGAUUCUGCCCCGAGUGAGAAGUUCCUCUGAAAUCUACGGCCUCAUGGCCUGAUAGCAUCGCACUAAAGUGGGUCUGGCAACAAAAGCAGCACACGCCUUCUUUCCAAGCGUGCACAAACACACAUGGACUUGGUGAUAAGAAGGAGCAUGGUGCACGGAUGCUGCAGCCGCUACUCAAUCUGGUUCAAUCAAGGAGUUAGACAUCAGAAUUACACUUGGAGCGUUCACAAACAACACAAAAAUCAACACAACAAACAUUUCUGGGUACAUGUUAAGGUCGUUUCAUCUUCGCAUGGUAUAGAAUAGAUCUUUAUUUGUCAUUGUCACAUGUACAACGAAAUUUAAAAAGUGCCAACCGAUCAGCGCAUGAGAUAAAAAAAUAAAUAGAAUAAAAAGAUGAAAAAAAAAAUACAAGCUAAAAAGCCACAGAAGACCAUACACAGACAUAAUCAUAAACAUAUCGGUUAGUUGGAAUCAAAUCCUUCAAAAAGGUUUUCAACAAUCCAGAAGGAAAACGGAAAUAGAAUUAAUCAUGGAUGGACAACAAUUAAAUACACUUGUCAUGGACUGUAGGAAAAAAAAAAAAAAGGUGAGUAGUAAACUCAAAAUUUCAAGGCAAUAAAGUCGGCAUGUUUAAAUUUGGCACGUUCAACAAAAAAAAAAUUGCAAAGUUGGAAAUUGGCUUUUUCUCGAUUUCAACAAAGAAAUAAGAGUUGCCGGAACUCAUUUGACUCAAUAUUGUCUUAAAGAUAAAUCAAAACAACUUGUUUGCUGUCAUAAACGCCAAUCAUUGACAUUUUGAAGUUAUCCCAACUCAACUUAUUGUUUCCAUCCCCGAAACUACAAGUUGUGUUUCUCACGACGAAUUAAUAAACCUGCUCAUCCGCUCAACAUUAAAUUGAAAUGUCAAAUAUGUCCCUGGGCUGAAUCAAGAUUGCGAAACACACAAAUGGCAUGAAAGGCAUAUUGCGUAGAUGAUGACAUUUACAUAAGACGUUGACAGCCGGCUGUACUGGACUCAUGGAAGAAACGACUUGAGCGUUCCAAAAGCAAGUCAUUCAAAUCCAAAAAGAAUAAUUCGACUGUUUCACAUGGCCAAACUUGACAGGCCUCCGGCUGAGGUGACGAGUUCAACACUUUGGCGUCUGAUGGAGGCCUUGACUGAACUCCAUGACUGAUCACAUCUCUGGAGGCCCGCCAUUGUGCCCCUCCCCACUCUGUCCCCUUACCUCACCGCCACCUUUCUUUCAUUCUUCCCUUUUGUACUGCGAGAUGCUGAGAGGAAGAGAAGAUGGAGGUGGGGAGGAACCUUUUGUUGCAUCCCCCCCCCCCCCCUUCCUCCACAAACAAAUCGAUCGGGAUAUUUUCAAUUACAAAGGAAAUACGACGAGGGAGAUAGACGAAGGGUGAGGAGGUGAAGUGGCUCAGGCGGUGAUUGAGUGGCAAGCUAGUGAAUGGUGCGAGGAGCUCAGGUAGCAAGUCCACGGUGAGUGCUCGCUCUCAAGUUAGUGUCAGGUAUCAGGUAGCUACUUGUCUGGGUCUUCAAGGCAGCCGCUGCUUGGAUCAUGUUUGCAGUGGAGAGAGAGGAGAGAAGGGAGAGAGAGAGAGAGAGAGAGAGAGAGAGAGAGAGAGAGAGAGAGAGAGAGAGAGAGAGAGAGAGAGAGAGAGAGAGAGAGAGAGAGAGAGAGAGAGAGAGAGAGAGAGAGAGAGAGAGAGAGAGAGAGAGAGAGA